rnacentral:tRNA from 1 species
CGGGGCGUGGCGCAGUCUGGCAGCGUAACUGCUUUGGGAGCAGUGGGUCGUAGGUUCGAAUCCUAUCGCCCCGACCA